rnacentral:lncRNA from 1 species
GUUGCUUAGCUAUCUUCUGCUUAUGGAUACCCAGUUUUCCCAGCACCAUUUAUUAAAGAGACUGUCUUUUCUGCAGUGUAUGUUCUGUGCACCGUCAUUGAAAAUGACAGUUCAUUGAAGGUGUGUGGAUUUGUUUCUGGGUUCUCUAAUCUGUUCAGCUGGUCUAUGUGUUUGUUUUUAUGCCAGUACCAUAUCAUUUUAGUUACCAUAGCUCCAUACUAUAAUUUGAAACUGGGUCAUGUGAUUACUCCAGUUUUGUGGUAUUAGGAUAGCUUUGGCUAUUCUGAGUCUUUUGUGGUUUCAUAUAAAUUUUCUAAUUUUUUUUUUCUGUUUCUGUGAAGAAUGUCAUUGGUAUUUUGAUAGGGAUUGCAUUGAAUCUGUAGGUUGCUUUGGGUAGUAUGGACAUUUUAACAAGAUUGAUUCUUCCAAUCCAUGAAUAUGGAAUAUCUUUCCAUUUUUUGGUGUCCACUUCAAUUUCUUUCAUCAGUCUUUUAUAGUUUUCAUUAUAGAGAUCUUUCACUUCUUGGGUUAAGUUAAUUCCUAGGUAUUUAAUUUUAUUUGUGGCUACUGUAAAUGGGAUUACUAUUUAAAUCUCUUUUUCAGAUUGUUCACUGUUGGCAUAUAGAAAUGCUACUAAUUUUUGUAUAUUGAUUUUGUAUCCUGGAACUUUACUGAAUUUGUUUAUAAUUUGUUUAUUUGUUUAUAAUAGUUUUUUGGUGGACUCUUUCAGUUUUUUCAAAUAUAAGAUCGUAUCAUUGGCAAACAAGGGCAGUUUGAUUUCUUCUAUUCCAUACUCAGCUAAUUUUUUUUUUAUUGUUUGUAGAGACAGGAGUCUCACUAUGUUGACCAGGCUGAUCUCAAACUCAAGCAAUCCUCUGCCUCCCAACAUGUUAGGGUUACAGGAUUUCCACACGGGAAUUUAACUCUGCAGAUGAAUCAACAUGAUGCUAUUGUGAUAACCUACCUUUUGUUGGCCUAAUAGACUCUCUCUUUCUUAGCUUUUUGAGCUGGUCAGACUCCAUUUUAGCUUCCUCACUUGCCCCCGGCUUCUUGUCCCUUCCCCUGAGCAUGUAGCAGGGUUAAGCUGACUCCAAGCAGACCCAGGAAUGUCCUUACUGAUAAGAUACUGAGUUAAGCUGUACCAGCCACACCCAGGGAUGCGUUUGCUGAUGGUAUCAACAGCUCCUUAAAAUGUGCCCACAUUUACAACUGUAUAUCUUCCUGCAGUAGUAUGUCCUUUUAACUUUUUGCUUGUUCUGCUUUAGCUAGGUGCCCCCUCCCCUCCUUUAAGCAAGGUAUAAAAGAAAGCAAAAUACCCUUCUUCAGGGCUGAGAUAAUUUUGAGCAUUAGCCGUCUCUCAGUCGCUGGCAAAUAAAGGACUCCUGAUUCAAUCUCAGAGUGUGGCACUUUCUUCAACUCGCUCGGGUAUAACACUAUUAAUUGCUAUUUACAUAUUAAUACUUG